UACGAAGGGUGCAAGCGUUACUCGGAAUUACUGGGCGUAAAGCGUGCGUAGGUGGUUUGUUAAGUCUGAUGUGAAAGCCCUGGGCUCAACCUGGGAAUGGCAUUGGAUACUGGCAGUCUAGAGUGCGGUAGAGGGUAGCGGAAUUCCCGGUGUAGCAGUGAAAUGCGUAGAUAUCGGGAGGAACAUCCGUGGCGAAGGCGGCUACCUGGACCAGCACUGACACUGAGACACGAAAGCGUGGGGAGCAAACAGG
rnacentral:rRNA from 1 species